GUUCCCCUCCCUUACUCCAGGGCCUGAGUACAGUUUGGGCUCCUGGCAUUGACAGGGGAUACAGCAAGAGCUCUCUCCUCUUUCACAUUCAGCCACAUUGCUGUCUGCGGGGCUCGGGAGAGGGCUGACACC